AGCAUUUUGGGUGGUGGCUAGGCCCAAGAGGUUAAGAGAGUUAAGCGUGCUAGGAUGGGAGUAGUCCUAGGAUGGGUGACCCCCUGGGAAGUCGGGGCGUCACAGAUGGUAUCAGAGCCAAUUACCAGCCGGAAGUGUGAGAUGAGUCUCGGCUGAGCCAGGGUCUGGAUGACGGGCUAGCGAGAUGAGUCUCACAUCGCCUGGUACUUGUGAGUCUGAGCCUGACGAGGACGUCAGGGCUUAAAGGAGGGGAGAUUGUGAGACCCCAGAUAGUCCUAUAUAUGAGAUAUAAUAGGGCUAAACUCUUAACCCGGCUUAAGCAUUUUGGGUGGUGGCUAGGCCCAAGAGGUUAAGAAAGUUAAGCGUGC
rnacentral:lncRNA from 1 species